GCCAGUGUGGCAUAGUGGUUUUAAUGUUGGACUAGGACUCUGGAGACCAGGGUUUGAAUCCUAGCUCAGCCA